UGCAGUCGAGCGGACAGAUGGGAGCUUGCUCCCUGAUGUCAGCGGCGGACGGGUGAGUAACACGUGGGUAACCUGCCUGUAAGACUGGGAUAACUCCGGGAAACCGGGGCUAAUACCGGAUGCUUGAUUGAACCGCAUGGUUCAAUUAUAAAAGGUGGCUUUUAGCUACCACUUACAGAUGGACCCGCGGCGCAUUAGCUAGUUGGUGAGGUAACGGCUCACCAAGGCGACGAUGCGUAGCCGACCUGAGAGGGUGAUCGGCCACACUGGGACUGAGACACGGCCCAGACUCCUACGGGAGGCAGCAGUAGGGAAUCUUCCGCAAUGGACGAAAGUCUGACGGAACAACGCCGCGUGAGUGAUGAAGGUUUUCGGAUCGUAAAACUCUGUUGUUAGGGAAGAACAAG
rnacentral:rRNA from 1 species